AGGGAGUAUGGGGUAAAGCAAUCGGGGAAAGGGGCAAAUUAUAACAACUAAAAUGACAUACACAUAUGAAAAUACUAUAAUGAAACCCAUUACUUCGUAUAAUACUUAAUAUUAAUAAUAAUGAACUAACUUUUAAACCAGGUAUAUUGGUACAUGUAUGUAAUCCUGGAACAGCACACAGGAAGCUGAGGCAGGAAGAUUACAAAUUCCAGAUGGAGCCUGGUGGUGGUGGCACAUGCCUUUAGUCCCAGCACUCAGGAGGCAGAGGCAGGUGGAUCUCUGUGAGUUCGAGACCAUCCUGGUCUACAAGAGCUAGUUCCAGGACAGCCUCCAAAGCCACAGAGAAACCCUGUCUAAGAAAAAAAGGAAGAAUUUCAGAUAGGCUAUAGAGUGAGAACCUGUUCACAAAACAAAAAAUAGCAAACAGAAAAAAUGAACAGUUUUAAAACUGUUUUAAAACUUCCUUUUAUGAAGGAAGGAAGGGAAGAAGGAAGGAGUGAAGGAAACAAGAAAGGAAGAGAAAGGGAAGCCAGGAGAAGAGCUAUAAGAAGAUCAAGCUUUGGCAUUUCAAAAAGAACCUCAAAAGCACAAGCGACGGCCUCAACUCUCCUGGGAACUCAGCAAAGACUUCACAUGGUUUACCUGAUGGCUCCUCAAAUUCACAGCCUGUCUGUAGACGUCAAGGAAGAGGCUCCCACGGCUGUCCCCAGGACAGGGGGUAAAAACUGGCUGAUGUUUGGGGAAUUGCCAAAGAGCUCAGAAGGAAAUGUUGCCACCUCUGAAGAUUCAGAGAAGUCCCUACAACCCAAUGAUGAGAUGCCUCCUGUGUCCUUGAGAUCUUGACCUUGCCACUUCUGGGCCAGUGAUAUCAGUAUCCAGAGAAAAUGCUGGCCUUCAGCCCUGCCCCAAGCCUUUUCUUUAAGAAGAAUCCUGCAGUUUGUGGAAAUCUGCAAAGCACUGCUCACCAGGCCUGCUUUCCAGCCUCAGCAUCAGCAGAAUUCCCCAAGAUUUAAAAAUCAGCUGGACACUCUGCUUUAAUUUGAGGUUUCAGUUGGACAUUGGCGUCCUAGAAAAUUUUCAAGUGAUUCUAACAGACAACACGGUUUGUGAACAAUCCACUUAGAUGUGACCAGCCUAAUCCUUGUCCCAGCCCCUCUGAAAUCCAAAGCCUUAAAUUAGACCUUUGUUUGAACCUGUCUUGGCCAUGAUGGAGAGGCAGGAUGUAGCCACAUUUCCUGAGCCAUCACUUCCUCCUAGCAACCUCUAUCUCUGUUCAUAGUGUCCCUCUUUAAAUAUGCCAUUCCUAUGCAGCCAAAGAAAAACAACUCAUUAUUUUAGUUUGCUUCUAUUGCUGUGAUAAAACACCAGAAACUAUCUGGGGGAAGGAACAGAAGCUGAGGCAGGAAUUGAAGCAGAGGUCACGGAGGGAUGCUGCUUACAGGCUUGCUCUCCAUCUCUUGCUCAGCCUGCUUUCCUAUACAACCCAGGAUCAUCUGCUCAGGGAUGGCACUAGCCAUAGUAGGCUGGGCCUUCCCCCAUCAAGCAUUCAUCAAGACAAUGCUCCACAGACUUGCCCACAGGCCCAUUUGAUGGGGACAUUUUCUCAACCAAAUCUCCCUAUUCCCAGAUGAUUCCAGCUUGUAUCAGGUUGACAAAAACCUAACCAAAACAUCAUGUAAGCUGCCUGUGAGUAUGACUGACUCAACAACCUGGGGAUGUAGCUGAAUUGGGGCAGGAGUUUACAUAGCAGCAAAACACCACCAAGAGGGAUUCUGCCAUCACACGAAGACACUGAUUCUUCAUGUACAUAAUACUUCUGGAAUGACUUACAAUUUUCUGGGCAUCCUGGUGGCAAGCAUGGGUUUUGUUAAUGACAGGCUUCCUUGGUUCUUAGAUCUUGCCUAGGCAUAGAAUUCAACCCCACCCCCACCCCCACAGCCUCAUGUAUUAGCUGCUGGCUCUCUGUUGUAGUGUUAGUGUCUGAAUUGGAGAGGAAGGCUACUGGGGGCACACCUGUUAGAGUGAGCACACAGACCUACUUUUGCCUCUGUUUCCUGACAUACCAAGGCAUGAAUAAUUCAUACCACAUCCCCUGUCACCAUGCUCCACCAGCUGCCAUGUCUCCCUCGGCAUGAUGGCCUGUUCUCCCUGGAAAUGUGAGUCAGAACACAUCUUUCCUUCUUUUAUCCAUUUCUGUCAGGCUCUUUGGUCCUGAAAUUGAUGAAAGAAGUAAUGGAUAUAACACUAAACAAAUGACAACUAGAUUGUUGAAUUGUUGAUUGUUGAAACCUGAGGGCUUGGGAGCUUGGAAAUGAGAGGACCAGAUCUCAGGUGACUAUUUGAAGAUGGAGAAACCAUUCAAGGCAGAGGCAGGAGGAGAAUUCUGAGCUUAGAAAGGCCACAGGUAGGAUAUAAGACCAGAGAUUUAUGUGCUAAUCUGUGUGGUUCAAUGCUGUCACUAUUUUGGAGCUCAGAGCACUUGAAAAGGGCAAAUCCAGACAGGUAAAAUAAACACCAGACGCUAAUGAGAUCA
rnacentral:lncRNA from 1 species